UCUGUGCAGCUUCCUUUCUUUCUGAACACGUUCAUGAAAAUCUGUUCAGUGCACAGAGAACCAACAAGAAGCAAGUCAAGUCGCACGGAGAAAAGCGGUCCUUCGCAGCGACAGCACUGCUGAACUCAGGUGUUGACUGUGAAGCGUCAAAUCCCAGAGAAGAUCGUCAGUCUGGCCUUGGGAGGUGUACGCAGCCCCCGCAAGGGAAUCCUCAGAGGAAGCAGUAGUGGUUUUUCAACAUUUGUUUGUUUUCUUGCCUUUGAAGAGCCUACAUGAGUGUUCAGCCAUUCCUGGCCCGAGUUCAGAAUAGGAACUGUUGGUUUUCUGAGCCUUUUCGUCCUUCUCCAAACCACCAGUUUUAUGGGUUUGGCUUCAUAACCAAUAACUCUUUUCACAACAUUAAAAAUGUGUGCAUAAUAAAAAAAAGACAAGAUAAAAAAAUGUGUGCAUAAGAUGACCGCACUGUACCUUUAAAGAAGUGAGAAGACUUUUUAAAAAAAAGAAUGGCUUAGAGAGUGAAGAUAUUCACUGCUGAGCAUACAAUAUACUCUGAUCAUAUUUGCCUCCACUCCUCUUCAUGUGCCCUCCUAGAUCCACCCCCAUCCCUGUCCCUGUCCCCAUCCCCAUCCCCAUCCAAACACUGUCUCCUCUUAUUUUCUUUUUGUGUACCUCACCUGGUCCAGUCUGUGUUGCCCAUACCCUCACAAGCCUGGGCCUCUCACUGGGGUAAGGCCAACCUACCAGAGAUCUCACCAUUAAAGAAAAGUCCUUCCCCUAGAAACUCUCCGUGACU
rnacentral:lncRNA from 1 species